rnacentral:rRNA from 1 species
GAUGAACGCUGGCGGCGUGCCUAUACAUGGAAGGUGGGGGGACAGGAGGGGAGGCUUGUUCUUUGAAGGUAGGGGGGGGCGGGGGGGUUACAAGGGGGUUAACCACCUAUUAGAACGGGGUUACUUUGGGAAACCGGAGGUAAUUACGGGAUAAUUUUUUGAACGGAUGGGUUCAUUGUGGAAGAAGGGUUUGGCGGUCACUAUUGGUUGGUUCCGCGCCGCAUUAGCUAGUUGGUAGGGUAACGGCUUACCAAGGCAACGAUGCGUAGCCGACCUGAGAGGGUGAUCGGCCACACUGGAACUGAGACACGGUCCAGACUCCUACGGGAGGCAGCAGUAGGGAAUCUUCCGCAAUGGGCGAAAGCCUGACGGAGCAACGCCGCGUGAGUGAUGAAGGUCUUCGGAUCGUAAAACUCUGUUAUUAGGGAAGAACAAAUGUGUAAGUAACUAUGCACGUCUUGACGGUACCUAAUCAGAAAGCCACGGCUAACUACGUG